AGGUUUGUAUGUGUAAAUUGCAAAUUUAUAAUAGCUUUAAAGCACAAGCCUU
rnacentral:tRNA from 1 species